rnacentral:rRNA from 1 species
ACGUAGGGUGCAGGCGUUAAUCGGAAUUACUGGGCGUAAAGCGUGCGCAGGCGGUCUUUUAAGUCAGAUGUGAAAUCCCCGGGCUUAACCUGGGAACUGCGUUUGAAACUGGAAGGCUUGAGUGUGGCAGAGGGGGGUGGAAUUCCACGUGUAGCAGUGAUAUGCGUAGAGAUGUGGAGGAACACCGAUGGCGAAGGCAGCCCCCUGGGCUAACACUGACGCUCAUGCACGAAAGCGUGGGGAGCAAACAGGA